rnacentral:SRP_RNA from 1 species
GCCGGGCACAGUGGCGCGUGCCUGUAAUCCUGCUGUUUGGGAGGCUAAGGCUGAGGGAUUGCUUGAGUCCAGGAGUUCUAGUCUGCCCUGAGCCAUGUUGAUCGGGUGUCCACACUAAGUUCAGUUUCAAUAUGGUGAUCCUGGGGGAGCUUGGGAUCACCAGGUUGUCUAAAGAGGGGUGAACCGAUCCAGGUCGGAGACGGAGCAGGUCAAAGCCCCCAUGCUGAUCAGUAGUGGGAUAGCACCUGUGAAUGGUCAGUGCAGAACAGCCUGGGUGAUAAGUGAGACACAGCCUUUU